UCGUACUUAGCUCAAUGGUCAGAGCAUCACUCAUGAAUGCUGAGGUUGACCGUUGUGGGUUUGAGUCCCACAGUACACA
rnacentral:tRNA from 1 species